rnacentral:rRNA from 1 species
GAUGAACGCUGGCGGCGUGCCUAAUACAUGCAAGUCGAGCGAACAGACGAGGAGCUUGCUCCUCUGACGUUAGCGGCGGACGGGUGAGUAACACGUGGAUAACCUACCUAUAAGACUGGGGUAACUUCGGGAAACCGGAGCUAAUACCGGAUAAUAUAUUGAACCGCAUGGUUCAAUAGUGAAAGACGGUUUUGCUGUCACUUAUAGAUGGAUCCGCGCCGCAUUAGCUAGUUGGUAAGGUAACGGCUUACCAAGGCAACGAUGCGUAGCCGGCCUGAGAGGGUGAUCGGCCACACUGGAACUGAGACACGGUCCAGACUCCUACGGGAGGCAGCAGUAGGGAAUCUUCCGCAAUGGGCGAAAGCUUGACGGAGCAACGCCGCGUGAGUGAUGAAGGUCUUCGGAUCGUAGAACUCUGUUAUUAGGGAAGAACAAAUGUGUAAGUAACUAUGCACGUCUUGACGGUACCUAAUCAGAAAGCCACGGCUAACUACGUG